CGUGUAGGCGGGAAGGAAAGUCAGAUGUGAAAUCCCUGGGCUCAACCCAGGAACUGCAUUUGAAACUCCCUUUCUUGAGUACCGGAGAGGAAGGUGGAAUACCUGGUGUAGAGGUGAAAUUCGUAGAUAUCAGGUGGAACACCAGUGGCGAAGGCGGCCUUCUGGACGGUAACUGACGCUGAGACGCGAAAGCGUGGGGAGGCAAAACA
rnacentral:rRNA from 1 species